rnacentral:rRNA from 1 species
CGGGCCUUGUACACACCGCCCGUCACACCAUGGGAGUUGGUUUUACCCGAAGGCGCUGUGCUAACCGCAAGGAGGCAGGCGACCACGGUAGGGUCAGCGACUGGGGUGAAGUCGUAACAAGGUAGCCGUAGGGGAACCUGCGGCUGGAUCACCUCCUU